UCUGGCGUCUUCGACGUCCGAGUUGUAAUUUGUAGAGGAUGCUUCUGAGUAACCACCGACCUAAGUUCCUUGGAACAGGACGUCAUAGAGGGUGAGAAUCCCGUAUGCGGUCGGAAAGGUGCUCUAUACGUAGCUCCUUCGACGAGUCGAGUUGUUUGGGAAUGCAGCUCUAAAUGGGAGGUAAAUUUCUUCUAAAGCUAAAUAUUGGCCAGAGACCGAUAGCGCACAAGUAGAGUGAUCGAAAGAUGAAAAGCACUUUGGAAAGAGAGUUAAAAAGCACGUGAAAUUGUUAAAAGGGAAGGGAUUGCAACCAGACUUGCUCGCGGUGUUCCGCCGGUCUUCUGACCGGUCUACUCGCCGCGUUGCAGGCCAGCAUCGUCUGGUGCCGCUGGAUAAGACUUGAGGAAUGUAGCUCCCUCGGGAGUGUUAUAGCCUCUUGUGAUGCAGCGAGCGCCGGGCGAGGUCCGCGCUUCGGCUAGGAUGCUGGCGUAAUGGUCGUAAUCCGCCCGUCUGAAACCCCGGGAACAAAGG
rnacentral:rRNA from 1 species